CACCAAUAACCCCAGGGACUGGGAAGCUGAAGCAGGAGGGUUAUGUGUGAGAUCCAGGCCAGACCACAUGAGACACCAACUAAAAGAAGGAAAAUAAACAUAAUAAAGUAGCUACAUAAGUAGAAUCUGGAGAUUUUUUAAAUGAAACAACUGUAACAGGUUCAAAUAAUAAGAUAUGGCUGGGAGUGGUCUAUACCACAAAAAUAACUCUGAAUUAUUGAAACUCAGCCCUGCAAAAAAUUCAUCCAAAGUUCUUCUACAUCAUGAUUCUAGGUGUUGAAACAUUUGUUUAAACUAUGGUCAUAACAAAGUUGUUUAUCAUCUUGAAGUAUAAAAACAUAACUCUAGGACAAAUUGCACUUCUUUGAAACACAUGUACUGUAAAAGAGAGAGAGAGAGAGGGAGAGAGACAGAGAGACAGAGAGAGAGAGAGAGAGAGAGAGAGAGAGAGAGAGAGAGAGAGAGACAGAGAGAGAGAGGGCAUUACCUUGAUUUUUUUGUUAUCUGUGAGAUAUUAAAAAGAUAUUUUAUAACUUGAUUUUUCCAUAUCUAAGAACCAAAAUACUAAACAUAAUAAAUAAAUGUGCAACCUGGAGGCACUGAAGGGAUACAGAAUACUGAGAGUAGUAAUGCAACAGUGUACUAAGAAUUUAGUUUUUCAGAAUUAAGACUUCUUUCAAAUACAGUUUUGCUUAUUGCUACUAUUAAUAUGUAUCACAUAAAGGUUCCUGUCACUACUUAUGAAGAACUGGGUUUAAAACUUUGAGAAUGUACACCUUUAAAACUGUUUUCUUUCAGUCUGUGAUAAUUUAAGUUUUAGCUGUUUUUGUAUAAUAAGUGGAUAAAUACCUUGGAAUAUACUACCCACAUACCCCAAGUUCUAUGAUAUUGGAUCUAACAGUCUCAACAUAUUAUAAGACAGUGCCUGUAAAGUCUUGGUUAAGUUUUUCAGCUUCUCUGAUGCCUUCCUUCCUCUCUCCAUGUUUUAGUAAUAGCUACUCUGUCAUGCUUAGAGGGCUACUGGGUGAUAACAUGACAAAUGGGACGCACAGAGACAUGUUUCAUUUCUGGUGCUCCCUUUAACAAUGGAAGAAUGGCUUGCAUUCAUUUAGGAUUCUGAGUUUUGAUCAUAUAGUUGUAGAGGAAAUAGAAUAAAAACCUCAACAGAGAUAAACCUGUGAAUUUCAGCUGCCAUCAUUUUAUUUGUACUUUGUGUGUGUGCAUGUACAGGUGGUGUGUGCAUGUGUGCAUGUGUGCGUGUGUACGUGUGUGUGUGUGCAUACAUGUGCAUGUACAGGUGGUGUGUGUAUGUAUGUGCGUGUGUGCGUGUGUGCAUGUGUGCGUAUGUGCGUGUGCGUGUGUGUGUGUGUGUGUGUGCAUGUGUGCAUGUGUGUAUGUGUGCUAGGGAUCUGGAUUCAGGACCUCACGCUUGAGGAGCAGGAACUUUACUGAGCAAGGGACCGGGUUUGAUGGGGUUUAGGCUUCCUCUUGAUACUUUCCUGAAAAUGAGGAAGGGCACAUUGCCCAGGUGUCCUGGCUCCUGGCCUCUCUGCAUCUUUCUUAGAAAGACUUCCAUCUCCCUUAUAGACAGCCCAUUAAAAGAACAUUCCUUUAUAACAGUGUAGGGAUUUAAGAGUAUAAGGAUAUAAAGAUGAAGUCAACCUUAAAUCACUUUCUCAGAUUGGCACAAAUCCAAAAUAGUUCACUAGUCCCUCCCACCUCCCUUCUUUUCUCCAUUUCCAGUGUGUAUAAAUGAUUCUAGGCCAGCUUUCCCCAGUGCACUCAGUAGCUGUGGGAGGUGCUGACAGCCUUGUGUUGUGUACAUGUGGGCAGCUACUCUGCUGACUGCAUUCUAGGCAGGGAUGGAAUGCACUGCCUUCCCCAAGCCCACUGACUGCAUCUCUUUUUCCAUCACAAGAACUCUGGAAGAUCUACCAGGUUUGAGAAGACAACUUUGAGAAAUGCCCAUCAAUCCAGGUUCUAAACACCCCUGGGCUGUCCCUGGCAACAGUUAUCCUUUUAAUUCCUAAAGAAGAAUCACUUUGCUUACAAGAUCCACAACCAUGGUAACCUGGAGUCUACUACUCCAUAAGCCUCCCACGCUAAGCAAUUAAGAGCUAUAUAUUAUUUCUUUACUGCAGAUUAAUGAAUUCAAAGCACUUGACAAGAAUUAUGAUCUCUCUAAGGAGACCCUUAUAUUCCUCCUGCAAACAUUAAAACCA
rnacentral:lncRNA from 1 species